AAUAACAAAUUGCAACAUACGACCAACUAUUGAUCUGAACGGCAAGCUGUAGAUGACUCGCAGUUCAGCUUCCUUUAUUGGCUUUCAAAACGGUGCGGGUUGUUUAAUUGGGAUCAUAAGACCCCUCGCCGUCCAGAAAAAAGCAAGCCCCACAUCGUUUUUCUCUGCCUCUACUCUGCACUGCCUCUGGCCCCGUGCCACCGUGCUCUACCAGGCCGUCGUCGAGCUCCUUUGCCGUCGUACCACCACUGUUCCUCCGUAAGCGCAAGCCGAGCACCACCCAGCUGAAGUCCAGCAGCGCAGCCACGUCUCAGCCACCAAAAUCCCAUUAUCGAGCGCAGCACCACCACAGGUUCCUCCACGCAAGGCCCACUGCCCAACACUGCUCAGCCCACCUCAGACCACUGAAGCCAUAAGCCAACCCACUUCAGCCGCACGCUUCCCUCGCUGCUCAGUCCCUUAAGUUGUGAAAAUCCAUUUGGUGAAACUCACCGAGAAGUUUGGGCUUGUGAGGAUUUCAAUCAAUGUCGAUAUAUGCUGAUGUUGUAUUGUAUUCAAAUAGUUGUCUGAAUCAAUUAAUGCCCACACGUUUCCCAUUUUGAGCAUUUCAUCUUGAUUCUUGAGUGUGGCCCUAGCCAUAAAGCCCUUAUCACUGAUUCUUCAAUUGCAAGAUUGAUAUGUUACCGAAAGCCUUCGCUUUGGUUAAAUUAUUAUUUUCAUCGCACCAUUUGCUCUCAUUUCCCAGGGAAUCAGUUUCAAAACCUCUGCUGGUCUUCACGACUGCCACAUAUUCGACAAAAAGUCCAACCCAGGUUGAAAGGGUAGAAGUUGUAGACCACCCAAAAAACUCCAUUGAUGUUCUAAGGAAAUGGGGUUGUAGUGAUGAUAAUAUAUCGAAGAUAAUUGUCCGCCACCCUUAUUUACGCCAGGCCGACAUUGCCGACCUUCAAUCCAAACUUAACAUGCUCAGUGGCUUGGGUAUUGGAGCUCAUGAUCUUUUGAAGAUGAUCAAUUGUCGCUCCAGGUUUCUAAGUUGUCGAAUAAAUCAUUGCUUUGAUGAGCGGCUUGAAUUUUUUAUGACAUUGUUUGAGUCAAGGGAAGUGCUUGCUAAAGCUAUUGUUAGGGACCCUUCACUCUUAACGUAUGACUUCAAUAACAUGAUCAAGCCUGCUAUUGCACUGUAUCAAGAGGUGGGUGUUAGUAGAAAGGACUUGAUUCCUAUGCUCCUUUCCCGGCCCACCAUGAUACCUCGAACUUCAUUUGAUGAAGAGAAAAUGGAAUAUAUUCGCAAAACUGGGAUUUCCAAGGAUUCCAAGAUGUAUAAAUAUGUUGUUACAAUCAUCGGCAUCUCACGCCACGAAACAAUCCGUCAAAAGGUGGGAAAUUUUGAAAAGUUCGGGUUUUCAGAUGAUGAAAUCUUCAAUCUCUUUGGGAGAUCCCCCCUUAUGUUGACACUAUCAGUUGAUAAGGUACAGAGGAACAUGACUUUCGUUUUGGGCACGAUGAAGCUUCCUGCCAGUGUGGUCCUUCAGUAUCCAUUUCUAUUGUACUCUAGCUUGGAUACUGUGUUAAAGCCACGAGUCCUUCUUGCAGGGAAGAUAGAUGACAUGGGUCUUGAUUCGCAGAUUAAGGGACCCACAAUGCUUAGGGCACUGAGGAUGACGGAGAUGAGGUUUCUAAAGGUGUUUGUCAAGUGUCACCCGAAAGAUGUUGCUGAUGAAUUGUUAGAGUUCUACAAAUGCGCCAAAGGGAUCAAGCGAUUGGCAGAAGCCUCAAAGAAAGACAUUCGCUUGGGAUUCCCAUUUUGAAGUUUUGUUCACCGGCUGCACUGUUUUUAGCCACUGGAAUCCAUUGAGCAAUAUCAGGUGGUAACCAUCUGGUCACAGUUCUGGACAUUCAUUGGGACGACAUUCUCAUACGCUGGACCACUUUAUACAGAUCAUAAGAUUGUUGAGAGGAAUUAACUACUUCAUUUGGAUGUGAAAUCUUGAUAAGUGAUGGUUAGUACGAUAAUAAUGCCUGAUCUACACACCAUGGCCAAGCUUUGGGGACUUGUUCUCUCUUACCGUGCACAUCUUGUUAUCCCAUUCAGUUAUUAUUUUCUAGUGGUCUCAUGGCCUGUCUGGCAGGUUAGGAACCUCAAAGGAGAUGGUUGGAUACAUAUCUUUAAUCCUUGUCAAGUCUGAUGAAACAACAGCUCUUAUGGCAUCGUAUUGGUAGGCACUCUUGGUCAAUAAAUAUAAGUAAUACUUGAUAUUAAAAAGUUGUCUUUCUCCAGUUUUAUCUAUUCGAUUGUGCUUUCUUUUGUUCUAUCUGUGGUUAUUUUGGAGCAGAACUCAUAAUAUAGUCAUCAUGAGGUCAGGGUGAUAUUGAUGGAAAGCAAGCUUCCAUUUAAAAUUGUCAGCCAAAAUUCAGAAAAUUUACCUUAUUAACUUCAACAAGGAAUACCUUAUGAUGAUGUAGUAGAUCUAUCAUACAGUCUCCCACGAUAAGUGUUCUGCUGCUUGGCUUGGUAUAUAUCAAGAAUGUAGCUAGUUAAAAAUAUGAUAAAAGGUUUGGUUCAGAACUUGGGCCCGUAGGAGCUUGCAUAGACACAUUCAGAACUUGAAGGUGUCUACCGUUGGUGUUGGUGUCAUGGGCUACACUGGAAACAAGAUUUCAAGAGUGUCGGAUUGGUGGAUUGCUAUAUAAAUUUUAUUUUUUGUUCUUUGUGAAAACAGAUUUUUUUUGGAGAGUUUUGGUAGGAAUGUGUCGGGUUUUGUUGUUUGAGAAGUAAAAAUGGAGUCUCUACGAUUUAUAUUCUACUGCUGCUGUUUCACUCCUUAAUUUGGGCCUUGUAUUUUACCCUCAAAUGGCUGGUGUUGUGGUCUCUCUCUCACGUUCCUCCAUUCUUGCAAGGCGGAAAAUAUGCAUCGUGAUUGAAGCUUGAGUAUUUGGCGAUUGGAAAGGGAAAUUUCACCAACAAAGGAUGUCAUUGAAGCUCAUGCAGUAACCGAUCUCCAAUGCGCAGAGGUUCUGUUUAAUAGCUGAUCAUUGCCUUUUUCAAUUGUUUUGUUGCAUAGUUGUUUGUUUUGACGAAGUUCACAGUUUACAGCAAUCAAUUAUGACAACAUACUCUAGGCAUUUAAUUGAUCAUGAAUUAAUUUUCCUUUGGUGUGAUUCAUUCCACAGAUCUGCCCUGUUUGUGGUCAUUAGGUUCUCUUUUUAUUUAUUUAUUUAUUUAUUAUUUUAUUUGAGAGAGGGGGGUUUCGAACUCCAGAUCUCCAUUUUAGAGGUUGAGGGUUAUGUUAAAAGGCUAUAAAAUAGCAUCAUAUCACUCUUAUAAUUCAUGGAUGAUCGAUUUUGUUAUUGCCCCCGGAGGGGCUGAGAUUUGCAGUCAUUCUACAAGAAGAUUGACAGCAAUAUUGCUUUAUUCGAUGGAGAGCUGGCUCUUAAAAAAUCGUUGGAAAAGAAUUGACAAUGGACUAUUUGGCUGCGUCUCUCUUCUCUCACUUAAAGUUGCUAUUUGGUGUGAGAUAAAAUCACUAAUGGAAGACUGUGCUACUGAUUUUAUAACUCAUUUAUUGUAAUUUUGUAUUUUGUAAUGUAAUUUAUAAAUACCAAAUAAUGUAAUAUUUAGUGGAUUGCAUUGUGUGUUGCAUGCAU